CCAUGGUGGUGGAUGGGGACAGCCCCAUGGUGGUGGCUGG
rfam:Chinese hamster prion protein (PrP) gene, complete cds.